GGCAUACGAGGCGCACGCCGCUGAGCCCUUCUCGUACAGGGCUGCCGCCCAGCCCAGGGCUCUCCCACGAAGGCACCCGAUCAGUCUGGAUUUCGGCCACAACACAGCACCGAGACCGUGCUUAUCAAAGUCCUAAAUGAUAUUCGUCGGAAUACCGAUGCAGGCAAAUCAUCUGUUCUGCUACUAUUGGAUCUCAGCGCCGCAUUUGACACGGUUGAUCACAACAUACUACUCAGCAGAUUGGAGCAGUGGUCAGAAGCAAGCAGGAAAGUCUGCACCUUGCCAUUGAAUGCUCUCCAUUACUGAUGUGAACCAAGAGUAGGACAAGGGACAAGGGACUGAUUUUGCUUGGUCCCUUGGUCACAUAGUCAUGCAAAAGGAAGGCCAACAAGAAAACCCCAACAACAUCAAAUGAGAAUGCCCUUCUUUGAGAAUCGAGUCUUCAAACUAUUACUGAUCCCUGCCUUGGAGUAGAAAAUGUGAGUAAAGGAAAAUCUAAUUCAUGCUCCACACACAGGACAAUGGUCUCUCCUUGAUUUAGAAAAAAGUAAUUGGUGAAAAUAAUACUCAAGUAAAGUUGUGAGUAACUGCUUAAAAUGUUAUCUUUUGUAAGCAAAGGUAUUU